GACAUAGGUCGCAAACGUUAUCCGGAAUUAUUGGGCGUAAAGGAUGCGUAGAUGGUUCGAUAAGUUACUGGUGGGAAAUCGAGGCUCAACCUCGUGGAAGUUAGUAAUACUGUUGAACUUGAGUUCAGGAGAGGUUAACGGAACUUUAUGUGGAGCGGUAAAAUGCGUAGAUAUGUAAAAGAACAUCAAUAAGGCGAAAGCAGUUAACUAGUCUGUUACUGACAUUGAGGCAUGAAAGCGUGGGGAGCAAAACGG
rnacentral:rRNA from 1 species